UUCAGUACUAGAUUCAUUCUCUGAUUGGGUCAGUUCAUGCUGCAAGAGAUCGGUUGGAAGACAUCCUCCGGGAGUUGUCAGUUACUGUAUUUGUUUUUCCUCCUGAAAAUCACUGAGGAGGAUGGUCCUCCCCUUCCUCCUCUGAGAAGCCUACACUGGUGUGUAUAUUUACAUCAGAGGCAACCACUGGUCUGUAUAUUUGUGUCACUGGUAACCACUGGAGUGGAAACCAAGAGAUGCUUCAAUCUGGGUUUCCUAUGGCAACUGACACACAGCAGUUUAAUAAUAGGCUCAUAGUUGAGAAGCAGGAAGAUAGCGCCAUUCCCAACCAUAAGGGGAAUUCCAGCGGACAGACACACCAGUUCCACAGUGUGAGCCAACACACACACAUGGGCACAUAACAAAUAAAAAAACACACAGAAAUCUCACAGGUGCAAGACCCGUGGCUUGUUCCACCAUUACCCCUGGGUCUUUAUCCACUACAAUAGUUAUUGUCUCUGAUGUUUACACUCAACUCUAAAUUAUCCCAAAUGAAGUUGCAGUGACAAAAACAAGAGAGGAAACGUCUGUAAUGAUAUGUGUCUCUGCUUCGGCACCUGGACCUGGUUUACAACAACACAUUACACAAGGCAGUGAAAGAAAUGUUUUUAAAAAACGGAAAGGUUACAGCUGUAAGGAUGGGACUGUGAUUAGGCCUAGUCUGAUUAUUAGGCAACAACAUUCUCCACAAAACUUUGACCAUGACAGCCUUUUAUGAUGAUCAUCAUUAGCAUCUAUUACAUUUUAUCUUCCUAAACAAACAUGUAUUUAAAGUGCAUUGCAUUAUUAUGUUCACUAUAAGUGAAUGACCAGUCAGAGCCGACUCUACUGCAAUUGAGCUGCUGUCCCUCCUUCCACCGGCCUGAUUUAAACCUAAAUCCGGCUGAGCGGACACUCAAAUCCGAGGAUUGGUGGGCCGGAAAAUUAAAUCACAGCGGCUUUAUAAUUCUGUGAUUAAAAACAUUAUUUUUUUUAAAGUCUUACGGUGGAUUGUAAGACCACUACUCACAUAAACUAUAACAGCUAGCCAACUUGAUAUCAGUUGCCUAAUCAUGAUAGCACACUUAUAUGAACGAACUGUCAAACGGGAAUUGAGAGCUGGAGCGCAAUAGAGAUACAUUGUUGUAGCAAUGGCAAUGCUACAUUGUUGCAAUUCUAGCCUACUAAACUUCCGCAAUCAAAACAAUAACACUUCUGCGAUUGGGAAGUGUUGUAUGCUAUGAAGAAUAGGCUAGAAUGGGGAUAUCCUACCUCUUAAAAUCCAGAAUCCUUAUGUCUUCUCGUCUUCAUACUCAUCUACAAACGAAAAACAUGUCACAGUGUAGCGACAAUUAGGCUAUUUGGGUCAAUAGCCAGAUCACAUGCAAUGCUAAAUCGUAUAGGCCUAUGGCAUUGCACCUUUCUAAACGAUAAAAACAUUGCUUUGUCAAGUUUUGGAGCGGCAAAGAAAAUGUGUAGGGUAGUUAGUAGUAGACAAACGUAUUUAUGUUCAGAAAAUUACAAUAUUUUUCGGAUUUAAACAACAAAAAUCAUGCAGCGUCAGUCUAGGAAUAUCAAACGGGCAGUUACACUGAAGUUAACAUGCGAGAUUAAUACAGAGAAAAGUACAACAUUAGCCUAACUUGAUAUGUUUGUUUGAAGAGAUAGCUGAUCUACAGCGUCUAGGCUACACGAUUAGCCUACUACAAAGAGAACGCUACACUUGUUGCACACAAACACGCGCAAUUAAACAAUUGAACUUAUUUCAUGUGUUUUUCAGAUAGGGUAGAAUAAAACUCGCUCAUAAAAAGUAGGCCUACUUUCUAUUGGGGUGUAUUCAUUACGCCAAUUCUUUUGCAAAACGUUUUGAAGGAAAAAACGUUGUCGGCCCCUCCCCGUUUCGUUCCUUUUGUUUCUUAAACGGAAAACGGUUUCCGUUGCAAGACGUACUGAACACACCCUUGGUCUAGAUUCGGUAACUUACUUUCUCAUGGAUCCCGUGUUUGUCACAGGCCUAGCCUAGUGAUCUGCGUGGAGGAUCAUUAUCUCCAGACUUACUUAUGCAGCCCAGUCCCUACAUCUUGACAACAAAAUAGGUAAAGCGGUUGAUCUGAUGCUUUUCAACUUAAUCUGGAAAAAUUGUACACAUUAUAUUAGGAAAUCUGUCAUUAUGAACACAUAUGAAUAUGGUGGUCUCAAAUUUGUAGAUUGUCCUACUUUGAAUAAUACUUUUAAGAUAAAUUGGGCUAAACAUGUAUUAAAGAAUCCAACUUCAAUUUUAUGUUUCUUUAUUUUUUUUGUUUUUUUUCCAUCUUCAUUUAACCAGGUAGGCCAGUUGAGAACAAGUUCUCAUUUACAACUGCGACCUGGCCAAGAUAAAGCAAACAGGUGCGACACAAACAACAACAACAUGGAAGUUACACAUGCAAUAAACAAACAUACAGUCAAUUAACACGAUAGAAAAAAAUCUAUAUACAGUGUGUGCAAAUGAGGUAAAAUAAGGCAGGUAGGCAGAUGUGUAACCAGACCUCACCUUCUUCUCAUCUACCCUCGCUUCCAGUUGACUCACCAAUAGGAAAAAUGUGUUUCUCCUUGCCCCCUCCGAACAACAGAUCUAUACAUGCUUUUUUCAAAGGGAUAUUGUAUCCAUUCCUUAUAUCACAAGUUGCUGGACUACAUUUGUCAAUAAUAUCUGUUGGAAAAAAGUCUGGUUAUUACCACACAAAUAUCUGCUUGUUAACAAGUUCAAAGAGGUCUCUUUCAGAAUGAUCCAUAAGUAUUACCUUGCGAAUCAUUACCUGAAGAAACUAAAAAAAAAAUACAUUAACAUUAACUGUACUUUUUGUGUUGAGCAUCCAGAAACAGUUUAGCAUUUAUUUUGAUAUUGUCUACAUGUAAAAAAAAGUUCUGGAAAGAUAUUCAUAGUUUUAUAAUUGUUAAUAUUCUUGAUGACUUUUGUUCAUGAGAGAAUGUGCUGCUCGGUUUCCUUAACCAUAAUAAGGAUAAAGAAAAACAAUUUGACCUCAUCAAACGAAUUGUGCUAAUGGAAAAAUGUCACAUUCAUAAAUGUAAAUUCACGAAUAAAAAAAACACUCUUCUGUGUUUUCUAUAAGGAAUUCGAGCAGUACAUUAAGACCAUUCAACAUUGUUCUAAUAAAAAAGCUGUUAAAACAAUAUAUGUGUUUCUUUUAAUGUUUUUGUAUAAUCUGAAAUGUGUUGUGCCCCCUAGCAUAUGUUAUCAUUGUUUGUUUGUAUACUUCUUGCAUGUAUAUACUGGUUUUUCUGGGGGGGGAAAGGGGGGAAAGCAUGGAGGAUCAUGAGCACAUCAUGUAUUACAAGUGUUUGUCAGACAAAAGUUAAAUAGGCCUAUAUGUAUUUUAAAAUGUAGGAUAGGCUAUUUAAAUGUUUUCUACGCAUGGUCACCUCACAUUUCACAAAGAAAAAUAAAACAAAUAACACUUCAUUUUAAUUUGAUAGCCAAUUAAAAUGGAAAGGACAAUAGGGCCUAACAUUUAUUUUUGGUCAAAAUGUAUCUCUCUAUUCAGUGACGUCACCAACUCUGUAAUCUCACAAACACAGUCUGUGAUCACCUGUGGCCCAAUUUGUCAAAACAGAUUUGGGAAUGCUCCUUUAGAACAUCCACAAUGGAACGUCCCUCUCUUGGAACGUCAGACUCAAAAAAUAUGUCUUGCUUCAGAUUCUUAGAAUCGGAAUUAAAAUCAAAUAAAAAUGUAUUGUUCGGGUACACAUACUGUAUUCUGCAGAUGCUAUCGUAGGUGCAGCAAAAUGCUUAUGUUUCUAGCUCCAACACUGCAGUCAGUGUACUUAAUAAUACACACAUAUCCCCCAAAUAAAAAAGAAAUUAAGAAAUAUCAGUAAGACCAAUGUCAGAGUCCGGAAUAUAAAUAUAUAUGCACUGUACAAUAUGUACAGUUGAAGUCGGAAGUUCACAUACACUUAGGUUGAAGUCAAUAAAACUCGUUUUUCAACCACUACACAACUUUCUUGUUAACAAACUAUAGUUUUGGCAAGUCGGUUAGGGAAUCUAAGUCAUUUUCCAACAAUUGUUUACAGACAGAUUAUUUCACUUAAACUUCACUGUAUCACAAUUCCAGUGAGUCAAGAAGUUUACAUACACUAAUUUGACUGUGCCUUUAAACAGCUUGGAAAAUUCCAGAAAAUUAUGUCAUGGCUUUAGAAGCUUCUGAUAGGCUUAUUGACAUAACUUGAGUCAAUUAGAGGUGUACCUGUGGAUGUAUUUCAAGGCCAACCUUCAAACUCGGUGCAUCUUUGCUUGACAUCAUGGGAAAAUCAAAAGAAAUCAGCCAAGUCCUCAAAAAAUGUGUAUACCUCCACAAAUCUGGUUCAUCCUUGGGAGCAAUUUCCAAAUGCCUGAAGGUACCACAUUCAUCUGUACAAACAAUCGUACGCAAGUAUAAACACCAUGGGACCACACAGCUGUCAUAACACUCAGGAAAGAGACACGUUCUGUCUCCUAGAGAUGAACGUGCUUUGGUGUGAAAAGUGCAAAUCAAUCCCAGAACAACAGCAAAGGACCUUGUGAAGAUGCUGGAGGAAACAGUCACAAAAGUAUCUAUAUCCACAGUAAAAUGAGUCCUAUAAUCGACAUAACCUGAAAGGUCGCUCAGCAAGGAAGAAGUCACUGCUCCAAAACCGCCAUAAAAAAAGCCAGACUACGUUUUGCAACUACACAUGGGGACAAAGAUCGUACUAUUUGGAAAAAUGUCCUCUGGUCUGAUGAAACAAAAAUGGAACUGUUUGGCCAUAAUGACCAUCGUUAUGUUUGGAGGAAAAGGUGGAGGCUAGCAAGCUGAAGCACACCAUCCCAACUGUGAAGCACGGGGUGGCAGCUUUGCACACCUGUAUUUGGGGAGCCCUUCUCCCCCAAUUGCUUAGUUUGGCCAGGUGGCCAGCUCUAGGAAGAGUCUUGGUUGUUCCAAACUUCUUCCAUUUAAGAAUGAAGGCGACUGUGUUCUUGGGGACCUUCAAUGCUGCUGAAAUGUUUUGGUACCCUUCCCCAAGUCUGAGCCUCAACACAAUCCUGUCUCGGAGCUCUAUAGACAAUUCCUUCAACCUCAUGGAUUGAUUUUUGCUCUGACAUGCACUGUCAACUGUGGGACCUAAUAUAGAAGGGUGUGUGCCUUUCCAAAUCAUGUCCAAUCAAUUUAAUUUACCACAGGUGGACUCCAAUCAAGUUGUAGAAACAUCUCAAAGAUGAUCAAUGGAAACAGGAUGCACCUGAACUCAAUUUGAAGUUUGAAUACUUACGUAAAUAAGGUAUUUCUGUUUUUUAAAUGUUUAAUACAUUUCUAAAAACCUGUUUCCGCUUUGUCAAUAUGGGGUAUUGUGUGUAAAAUGAUGAGGAACAUUUUUUAUUUAAUAUUUUUUAGAAUAAGGCUAUAACGCAAGAAAAUGUGAAAGUCAAGGAUACAUUUGAAGUGGGUAAAAAAUUAUGAAAACAUUAUUACAUAGACAAGUAUUUAAUGACUAUGCACAUAGGGCAGCAGUCUCUCAGGUGCAGGGUAGAGUAUCUGAUGGUAGCCAUCUAGUAACAGUGACUAAAUUCAGGUCAGGUUGCUACUGUAGGUGGAGACCAGCUAGUGGUGACUAUUUAACAGUCUAAUCCAAAGAUUCUGUUUUUCAUUCUCUUUGUCCCAGCUUUGAUGCACCUGUACUGUCUCCUCCUUCUAGAUGGCAGUGGGGUAAACAGGCUCGGGUGGUUGAGGUCGUUGUUGAUUUUCUUGGCCUUCCUGUGGCACCGGGUGCUGUAGAUGUCCUGGAGGGCAGGCAGUAUGCCCCAAGUCAUUCGUUGGGCUGAUGCACCACCCUCUGGAAAGCCCUGCGGUUGCGGUCGGUGCAAUUGCUGUACCAGGUGGUGAUACAGCUCGACAGGAUGCUCUCAAUGGUGCAUCUGUAGACGUUUGAGAGGGUCUUAGGGGCCAAGACGAAUUUCUACAGCCUCCUGAGGUUGAAGAGACACUUUUGUGCCUUCUUCACCACACUGUCUGUGUGGAUGGACCAAUUCAGGUUGAAAGUGCACACCGAGGAACUUGAAGCUUUUCACCCUCUCCACUGCAGCACCGUCGAUGUCGAUUGGGGCGCGCUCUCGCUGCUGUUUCCUGAAGUUCACGAUCAGCUCCUUCAUUUUGUUGACGUUUAGGGAGAGGUUAUUUUCCUGCCACCAAUCCACCAGGGCCCUCACCUCCUCCCUAUAGGCUGUCUCGUCAUUGUUGGUAAACAGGCCUACCACUGUUGUGUCAUCAGCAAACUUGAUGAUUGAGUUGGAGACGUCUGUGGUCACGCAGUCAUGGGUGAACAGGGAGUACAUGAGGGGGCUGAGCACGCACCCUUGUGGGGCCCCCGUGUUGAAGAUCAGCGUGGCAGAGGUGUUGUUGCCUACCUUCAACACCUGAGGUCGUCCUGACAGGAAGUAGUUGCACAAUCAUCCCCUAAUCAUGAUCAUCAGUUUAGAAUGCAAUUUGAUUAAUCAGCUGUGUUUGCUAGGGAUGGAGAAAAAGUGUGACACCAAUCAGGCCCUCGAGGACUGGAGUUGCCCACCCCUGUUCUAGGGUGUCGGGUAAGGUGGAGCCGAUAUGAUCCUUAACUAGCCUCCCAAAGCACUCCAUGAUGACAGAAGUGAGUGCCAGGGGCGAUAGUCAUUUAGUUCAGUUACCUUCAUUUUCUUGGGUACAGGAACACAUUUUUUGUACCGUAGCUGCACCUAUGGACAUAGGCUGCUGGGAACUUCUUUUAAACAACAUUUAAGAGGGUCUUUAAUGUUGGUAGAAGCCUAUGAAAAUGCAAAAAAAAGUCAAAUUGACCAUAUUUGUUGACAAUUGUGACCAUUCGAUCAAAAGCAUAAUCCAUUGGAUUAUCCACAUUCUAACCUGAUUUGGACUGAGAGCUCUAGAGUUGCUAGACUGAAAUGGCUUGAGUCUAGAAUCUACUCCACCCUGGAGGUCCUCCCUGGGGUUCAUGGCUCUCUCUAAUGUUUCUUGGAGGACUUCUACCAAGAAGAACACUGAGACAUCACUCAUUCAUUUACCUACCACCUACUAGGGAUUCUACAAUAAAUGGCCUUGAUAUCAGCUAUACCAGGUCAAGUAGGAUAGUUACAUUAGACAGACAGACAUGAUGCAGUCUAGAUGGAAAUGUAUGAAUGGAUUUCGAGCUACAUUUUACAUUUACAUUUUAGGGUAAUGCCAUGCUCAAGGGCACAUCGACAGAAUCUUCACCUAGUCGGCUCAGAGAGUCGAACCAGCAUUGUUUUGGUUACUGGUCCAACACACUGAACCAGAGUUGUGGACUGGAGUCACAUUUGAGUCGGACUCAAAUCACACAUUUGAUGACUUGAGACUGGACUUGGAUUUGGAGCAUCAAGACUCCAGACUCAACUUUGGCUUGAGACUGAUGACUUGAAAUUAUCUGGCCAAGUUUUGUAAUGUUUUGUCACUCAUUUUGUGGCACAGUCUACAUGGAUUUAAUCUACACGCAGCCAGAAACAGUAGCCGCACCACCGCCCUUGUAAAAAAAAAAUGCAACAGAUUGGCACUCCGAUUGGACCAGAAAACUGUCAAUCAACAUAUGUCUUGUGAGCUCGCGAACAGAUUGCUGAUUUGCUGGAUAGCUACAGGAUUCGGUGCAGCGCAAACGUUAAAUUGUAGUGAGAGAGGUUUACCAUAAAAAUAAAUAUGCAGCUCCAAAAAGAGUUUGCUGAUCAAGAAUAUGAACUGUUUACAUUGCAAGCUAACCAGUAAUGGGGCAACAAUUACUAGCAUAGGACUACUGGUCUUUUGGUAUGUAACGAUUGCUUGAUAUUGAUCAUUUACGUAUGAAGUUUGCAUUUGGAAUGUAUUGUUCAAAUCUAAUGUGGCAAGGAAGCACCAUAAACGCUGUUCUCAAUUUGCACUCUCCAAAUUCCCGCCAUUGGAGAGUGCUUUUUUCCUCUUGUUAAACUAUUUGCCGUUGCUUUCACAUGUUUAAAUGCAUAGGCACUAUGUGGUAAAUCUAUUUCCCAUCUAAUACUGCAAUAAUUGCUAGCGUUUCAUCGUUCCAUUACCUUACAGUUUUUUGAAACACGUAGACAUGUCUGUCUCAUGUUUGAUAGACCUGCAAUACAUUUUAAUUUCAUAGCCAACCGUUUCUUACCCUGCUCAGAGUGGGCGCGAUGUGUAGUGCACAUGAUCAUUCGCAAAACUCAUCAGGUAGAAGUUAUGCUUAUUUAAUUCGAUCUAUAGUUCCCUUUGUUCGUAUUUCCCGGGUGUCAUAUGUCUGUCAUUUUUGCUGUGCGUAAUAGGCUCCACGCUUUGGAGUCAUAAAGUUGAAUAGGAUACAAUUAUUGUUCCGUGUUGGAAUAUCCUUAAUAAUCAUUCAAUCUGAUUAAGACGAAUGUAACAAUGGAUGUGGAAAUUGCGUUUUACAUUGUAGAACACGUUUAUUGGUUGUAAUUGCCAAUUGGGUAAAUGUAUGCUCCUGCGGGAUGGGGGCCAAGUGCUUAUUAUGUACUGUAUAGUACUGUACUGUAUCGAUUUGGUUGAUCAGAUAGGACAGGUUAAGCCUGAUACAGAGGCUAUUUCUUUUGGGCUAAUACCCGUGUAUAUUUGGUAAAUCUACUUGUAUAUUUUGUAUGAUAUGGCGCUUUCUCCAUUGGAUCACCAAAGACCUGUAAAUAAAUCUACACUCUGAGCACGUCAA